rnacentral:rRNA from 1 species
AGGACUAACGCUGGCGGCGUGCCUAACACAUGCAAGUCGAACGAGGGGUAGCAAUACCCCUAGUGGCAGACGGGUGAGUAACACGUAGUCAACCUACCUCUUAAUGGGGGAUAACUAGCCGAAAGGUUAGCUAAUACCGCAUACGAUCGUCGAGUGGCAUCACACGACGAUGAAAGGAGCAAUCCGUUGAGAGAGGGGACUGCGUCCCAUUAGUUAGUUGGUGGGGUAAUGGCCUACCAAGACUCCGAUGGGUAGCUGGCUUGAGAGAGCGACCAGCCACACUGGAACUGAGACACGGUCCAGACUCCUACGGGAGGCAGCAGUGAGGAAUUUUCCGCAAUGGGGGAAACCCUGACGGAGCGACGCCGCGUGUGGGAAGAAGGCCUUCGGGUCGUAAACCACUGUCGAGGGGGACGAUAUUGACGGUACCCCUGGAGGAAGCCCCGGCUAACUUCGUGCCAGCAGCCGC